rnacentral:tRNA from 1 species
GGGAAAGUGGCUCAGUGGUAGAGUGCUUGCCUAGCAUGCAUGAGGCCCUGGGUUCGAUUCCUCAGCACCA